CCUUCCAAAGUUUGCAAAUUUUGUAUACUUUUGUAUUGCAAUUUUCCUCGCCUGCAAUACAAAAGUAUACAAAAUUUGAAAACUUUGCAA